GAUGAACGCUGGCGGCGUGCCUAAUACAUGCAAGUCGAGCGAAUGGAUUAAGAGCUUGCUCUUAUGAAGUUAGCGGCGGACGGGUGAGUAACACGUGGGUAACCUGCCCAUAAGACUGGGAUAACUCCGGGAAACCGGGGCUAAUACCGGAUAACAUUUUGAACCGCAUGGUUCGAAAUUGAAAGGCGGCUUCGGCUGUCACUUAUGGAUGGACCCGCGUAGCAUUAGGUAGUUGGUGAGGUAACGGAUCACCAAGGCAACGAAGCGUAGCGGACCGGCGAGGGUGAUCGGCCACACUGGGAAUGAGCCACGGCCCAGACUCCUACGGGGGGCAGCAGUAGGGAAUCUUCCGCAAUGGACGAAAGUCUGACGGAGCAACGCCGCGUGAGUGAUGAAGGCUUUCGGGUCGUAAAACUCUGUUGUUAGGGAAGAACAAGUGCUAGUUGAAUAAGCUGGCACCUUGACGGUACCUAACCAGAAAGCCACGGCUAACUACGUGCCAGCCGCCGCAGUAA
rnacentral:rRNA from 1 species